rnacentral:rRNA from 1 species
AUUGAACGCUGGCGGCAUGCCUUACACAUGCAAGUCGAACGGUAACAGGUCUUCGGACGCUGACGAGUGGCGAACGGGUGAGUAAUACAUCGGAACGUGCCCAGUCGUGGGGGAUAACUACUCGAAAGAGUAGCUAAUACCGCAUACGAUCUGAGGAUGAAAGCGGGGGACCUUCGGGCCUCGCGCGAUUGGAGCGGCCGAUGGCAGAUUAGGUAGUUGGUGGGAUAAAAGCUUACCAAGCCGACGAUCUGUAGCUGGUCUGAGAGGACGACCAGCCACACUGGGACUGAGACACGGCCCAGACUCCUACGGGAGGCAGCAGUGGGGAAUUUUGGACAAUGGGCGAAAGCCUGAUCCAGCAAUGCCGCGUGCAGGAUGAAGGCCUUCGGGUUGUAAACUGCUUUUGUACGGAACGAAAAAGCUUCUCCUAAUACGAGAGGCCCAUGACGGUACCGUAAAAAUAAGCACCGACUAACUACGUGCCAGCCGCCGCAGUAAGAC